rnacentral:rRNA from 1 species
GACGAACGCUGGCGGCGUGCCUAAUACAUGCAAGUAGAACGCACAGUUUAUACCGUAGCUUGCUACACCAUAGACUGUGAGUUGCGAACGGGUGAGUAACGCGUAGGUAACCUGCCUGGUAGCGGGGGAUAACUAUUGGAAACGAUAGCUAAUACCGCAUAAUAUUAAUUAUUGCAUGAUAAUUAAUUGAAAGGUGCAAUUGCACCACUACCAGAUGGACCUGCGUUGUAUUAGCUAGUAGGUGAGGUAACGGCUCACCUAGGCGACGAUACAUAGCCGACCUGAGAGGGUGAUCGGCCACACUGGGACUGAGAAACGGCCCAGACUCCUACGGGGGGCAGCAGUGGGGAAUCUUCGGAAAUGGACGAAAGUCUGCCCGGGCAACGCCGCGUGGGUGAAGAAGGUUUUCGGAUCGUAAAGCUCUGUUGUAAGGGAAGACCGGGUGGGAGAGGGGAAAGUUCACCCUGUGACGGUAUCUUACCAGAAAGGGACGGCUAACUACGU